AACGAACGCUGGCGGCAGGCUUAACGCAUGCAAGUCGAACGCAUCCUUCGGGGUGAGUGGCAGACGGGUGAGUAACGCAUGGGAACGUGCCCUUCAGUUCGGGAUAACCCAGGGAAACUUGGGCUAAUACCGGAUACGUGCGAGAGCAGAAAGAUUUAUCGCGGAAGGAUCGGCCCGCGUCUGAUUAGCUAGUUGGUGGGGUAAUGGCCCACCAAGGCGACGAUCAGUAGCUGGUCUGAGAGGAUGAUCAGCCACAUUGGGACUGAGACACGGCCCAAACUCCUACGGGAGGCAGCAGUGGGGAAUAUUGGACAAUGGGCGCAAGCCUGAUCCAGCCAUGCCGCGUGAGUGAUGAAGGCCUUAGGGUUGUAAAGCUCUUUCGUCCGGGACGAUAAUGACGGUACCGGAAGAAGAAGCCCCGGCUAACUUCGUGCCAGCCGCCGCGGUAA
rnacentral:rRNA from 1 species